rnacentral:misc_RNA from 1 species
UCCCCGUUACCGAGGCAGUCUGGUUAGAAAAAUCCAACUAACCACGAGGGUUUCGCUCGUUUAAGGACUUAACCUAACAUCUCACGACACGAGCUGACGACGACCAUGCAUCACCUGUCACUUGGUUCCAAAAGGCACUCCCUUAUUUCUAAGGGAUUCCAAGGAUGUCAAGUCUUGGUAAGGUUCUUCGCGUAUCCUCGAAUUAAACCACACGCUCCACCGCUUGUGCGGGUCCCCGUCAAUUCCUUUGAGUUUUAGCCUUGCGGCCGUACUCCCCAGGCGGGAUGCUUAACGCGUUAGCUUCGCUACCGGACCGGUCGAUACGUCCGACAGCUAGCAUCCAUCGUUUACGGCGUGGACUAC